ACCAAAUGAUCUCAGAUGAGCGCAGAAGCAGGCAACACAGUCAGGCUGUACAUGACAGCUACAGCCUUGGGCAGCCAGCGAGCACCUUUGUUUGCACCAAGGCCUUAGACUGUGGGCAUAAGAUUGCUCAGCUGUGCCAGCAGCAGUGAGGGUGUGCCCCUUGUGCAAAUCUAGGUUGCCCACACCCAGCUGGUCCCAGUUACAUCUUGAUUAAGAAAAAGGAGCCCACCUCCCACUGGAGCAGCUGGUGUGGGUCUGCUCUGUGGGGGCAAAGCACUGGGAAGCUACAGGUGGAGGUUAUCUGGUUAUUGGACUUGAGAAGGACAGACUACAGAAUGCACUCUUAAAAUGGAAUCCUCUGUGAUUGAACUAUAAUGUAAUUUGGGCCUCUUGUAAAGCAAAUUGUAAAGUGA